UACGUAGGGGGCUAGCGUUGUCCGGAAUCAUUGGGCGUAAAGAGCGCGUAGGCGGCCAGAUAAGUCCGGUGUGAAAGUCAAAGGCUCAACCUUUGAAUGCCGCUGGAAACUGUCUGGCUAGAGUCCGGGAGGGGCGAGUGGAAUUCCUGGUGUAGCGGUGAAAUGCGCAGAUAUCAGGAGGAACACCAAUGGCGAAGGCAGCUCGCUGGAACGGUACUGACGCUGAGGCGCGAAAGCGUGAGGAGCGAACAGG
rnacentral:rRNA from 1 species